AGGAUAUUGAAGAAUAAGAUCCAAGCAUUCUGCCCUGGCCAGAUGGGUCAACUGGGGAUAUGAUAGAAAUAUUUUGGACACCAAAAGGGGUGAAUUUUACUCUAGUCUAGGAGUAGGUCACCAAGGACCUCCUGGAGUCAAAGCAGAAGAAGAGCACAGUGGGAAGCGAGUGUUACUGAUUCAGAGCUAGGUAACACUCCUGUACAGGAACUGCAAACACAGGAACCACAUGCCAGUGCCUAGGCCUGAGCAGGAUGGCCUCUACCCUGUGAAAUUGCUUACUUAUGUAAUGAAGAGAAGACAAUCUCUAAUCAAGACUUCAACAAUAAAAGAGUAGAUUUAAUUUGAAAGCCCAAGGAGUUCAGAUUCAUUCAUUUCAGCUAUGUGCUGAGGGUCUGUUAAAUCAGAACAUGCUUGGGUGCUGUAUAAAAAAAUCUAUACCGGUUAUCAGAAGAUGUGAUAUGAUGUUCCAGUUAAUGAGUUUGUA